rnacentral:rRNA from 1 species
UACGUAGGGGGCGAGCGUUGUCCGAAGUUACUGGGCGUAAAGCGCGCGUAGGCGGGUCUGUAAGUCGGCUGUGAAAGCCUGAGGCUCAACCUCAGAGGGUCGGCCGAUACUAUAGGUCUUGAGGGCGGUAGGGAGAAGUGGAAUGGCUGGUGUAGCGGUGAAAUGCGUAGAUAUCAGUCGGAACACCGGUGGCGAAGGCGGCUUCUUGGGCCGUACCUGACGCUGAUGCGCGAAAGCUGGGGGAGCGAACGGG